UUUUAAUACAACUUUCAGCAACGGAUCUCUUGGCUCUCGCAUCGAUGAAGAACGCAGCGAAAUGCGAUAAGUAAUGUGAAUUGCAGAAUUCAGUGAAUCAUCGAAUCUUUGAACGCACCUUGCGCUCCUUGGUAUUCCGAGGAGCAUGCCUGUUUGAGUGUCAUG
rnacentral:rRNA from 1 species